AGUGGAUACUGUUACAAAACAUGAAUACGUCAUUCACGUUCACUAGGAAUUUGGCGCGUAAAUUAACUACGUUAAAAAUCUUUAUUUUUGGGACACCUUAUGCCAUCCUUUGAUUGGCCAAGCAUACCAUCAGUCACCAUUUAACCGCACCUAUCCCCACCCCCAUCCAACCACUGGGUUUAAUGUGCUAUAUGUUUACUACAGUAUUAGUAAUAAGAGAACGUCACUCUACAAACUGUGAACUCAACCACAAAAUAUAGCUCUUUAGUUUCAUUGAAGAAGAGAACCUACAUUCCAACAUGCCCAAGAGAAAGGUAUGUAGAGCUUAGAUUAGUAUGCGGAUAUACUUUUUGCCCGUAUAAAUCAGUCUGAUAUUAUGAAGCCUUCGAAUUUGUUCACUCUUGUAAAAAAAACUAUUUGAAAUAAUUAUUCGAUUUUUUUGGUUUGCAAAUAUCGCCGUAUUUUCCAGAAUUUAGAAUGUAUUUUGCGAUUUAUUUAAGAGGCGUAAACAAUCUUGUCUGAAGCCAGACUGGAUCUCCAUGCUAUUGAAACCACAAGCAGCCAUGCUUUGCAGUUCCCAUCCCAUCCAUCUCGAACACAGCGAAACAAAACGGAUGCCUUUUGACAGUUAGAGCGUGUAAAUCGGCACCGAGGGGGGUAUAGUUUUUACUUAAUAAAAAAAAAAAUCCUCGAUAAUUUCAUUUUAAAAGACCGUCGCAAAUAUUAAUUAUUUCAAUGAUUUCUUUGUUCAUCGCGUUAAAUGGGUGCUAUUCCCCCUUAUCACCAGAUGGCGCAACACAAUUGAUUCUGCCCCUCCCCCUUAUACAUUUGGCGAAAACCGAUGAAGACUAAUGCCCCACUUAAAAAAAGUAAUGGUGCAACUGCUUCUGCUACUCAACGCAUAUAAUUUGAAGCGCUUGUCUAGAAUGAGUAGAGGCUGUCUGUUUGGGCAAAGUGGAGGCUAUUGCCUAUGUUUGCAAGGGGCUAAGUAAGUUUGUCAACUUGCAGUUACUCAUUUUAGACAAUAGGUAAAUAUUCAGCGAUAUUAUGUUGGGAAACAAAAGCAUGCAUAUCUAUCAUCUUAAAUAAUGUAUUUUUCAUACAUUUUGCAGGGAGCUGAUGGCGAUGUCAAGGAGGAGCCUUCAAGGAGAUCUGCACGGUUGUCAUCGAAACCAGUACCUUCAAAACCAUCACCAAAUCCAAAAAAGCCAGCUAAGAAAGAAAAAGAAGUAAAUAACAAGAAGAAGGCGAAGGCAGCAGCGGUCGGGGAGCCUAAAGAGGAGACCCAGACUGAAAAUGGCGAGAUCAAGACAGAUGAAGUAGAGACUCCAGAUGAGAAGACUGAGUAGCACUACUCCCGUCCAUCCAAUCCCCUCCCUUGUAUGGCCCCCAAGUCUCAUAUGUUAUCCCUAAAACAUCCAUUACCUUAACAGAGGAAUAUUUUUAUCAACAAUUUUGUAAUUGGUACAGGGUUUUAGCUCAAAACACAGCUAAAUAUGGAGGAUUGUUCUGUUGUGCAGUGGUCAUAAAGUGUUUUUAAGCAAACAUAAUUACGGUUUUGUUUAUUUAUUAGUUUUGGUACCUUGUUGGGACUUUAAAAAAUAAUGCUGGAUGGCAGACUAAUUGCAGGUGGUGUAGUGUCACAUUGUAGGUUCGCCAACUCAGAACAUUUCACUUUUGUAGGUGGUUGUAUUUUUAUUCUUUAUGUACAGUGGUUUUUCUUUGGGAGGUGUUUACUUAUUUUCAAUUUGAUUGUCUGUAAGCAAUUUUGGAAACAUUUGAAACAUUCCAGGCUUAAAGGACAAUUUCACAAUUUUUCAACUUCAUAUUCAUAAUCUCGAGGACCACCGCAACAACAUGUGAAAAUUGCUAGUUUGUUUUGUUGUUAAAAAAUAGGAAUAUUUUCAAUGACCCCAUCAGUGUGCAUGGUGUGAUUUUAACAAAUGAGUUACCAUCAUUAGCUACUAAUUGGACACUUCCUCAGUUUUUUUAUCACAAAACAUAGAAACCUCACAUUUUCACAUAUGUUGAUGUUGUGCUGGAGAUUAAGCAGAACAUUUUUUAAAUUUCACUAAUGUGGGCAUACCUGCUUUUUAAAUAAUCUUGCUCUGAAUUAUUUUGACACAAAUGAUUUAAACAGAGGAAGAGGCUUGUUGGAAGUUGAUUAUACUUUUUGAAACAAAUGUUGGGAUUUUAACACUGAAAAUUAAUCUAUUGAAAUAUGCAGCUGUGUUCCCACUGAAGUUCUGGAUAUUUAAUUGGAAUUUAAUAAAAUAGUAAUUUCUCAUGAGGUUGCGCAAGGUCUCAUGACUUUACGUGUCAUUAUUACUGUAUCAUUACCAUAUCUAAACUCAAUAGUAGACCAUCUAGCCAACCAGUUGUUCUGAUUGUUAUUGUGGUAUGUAUAUUAUUGUAAUACUGAUAUAUAGUUAACAUUCUUAUAACAGAUUCUGGUCAAAGGUAGCAUUUUACAACCUGCUGGAUUUGGCGACAUGUCGCAGUCACUAUUUGCUGACCAAAAUAAAAAAUGAGACUGAAAGGACCCUAGGUAUCGUGCCAGCACAAAUAACCACAAAGACAUGAUCUGUCUUGCAAAAGCAUGACACUUUUCAGUUCUAUACAUUAUGAUUGUUUGACAUGCAAAUUUGUAAUCAUGCUCCAACUAGUAGCUUUAUGGUAAGUUUUGUGCUUGUCUGAAAAGAACCCUGUACUGCUGCUUGGAAGUUGCAACUAUUUUAAUAUUUUGAGGUAUAUGCUAAACCAGUUCAGCUUGUGCCAUGUAGUGAAGGCAAGAAAAUAGAACUUACUCAUCACAAGAAAAGUAUAAUAGCCUUACUUGUUUGUUUAUUUGAAAUUAUACUGAACAAAAAUACAGUGCAUUCGGAAAGUAUUCAGA
ensembl:lncRNA